AACGGUCUAUACCUGCGGUACCUGCGGAGGGAUCAUUACAGAGUGUUCUACCCCCUUGUAAAAUGGUGGGUUUAACCUCCCGUCCUUUGCCAGACCCCCCCUUUCGUUGGGGGGCCUUUCAAACCUUUCUGCUUCGGCGGGGUUACCCGUCGGAACACCCUCAAAAAUUCUUGGUCAAAACUGUUCGGUCCGAGAAACUUAUGAAAAUUGAAGCAAAACUUUCAGCAACGGAUCUCUAGA
rnacentral:misc_RNA from 1 species